UACAGAGGGGGCGAGCGUUGUUCGGAAUUACUGGGCGUAAAGGGCGCGUAGGCGGCCCGCUAAGUCGAACGUGAAAUCCCCAGGCUCAACCUGGGAACUGCGUCCGAUACUGGCAGGCUUGAAUCCGGGAGAGGGAUGUGGAAUUCCAGGUGUAGCGGUGAAAUGCGUAGAUAUCUGGAGGAACACCGGUGGCGAAGGCGGCAUCCUGGACCGGUAUUGACGCUGAGGCGCGAAAGCCAGGGGAGCAAAGCGGG
rnacentral:rRNA from 1 species